ACUGCCAAGAGUCAAUGCAAGAGUCCCACUCCCACCUAGGCUUGCAGACAAGGGCCUCAAACUGGAAGCUCCCCAACGACAUACUGCUGCCAAUAGCCUCCGAUCUAGGGAUUCUCUCCAUGAUGAAAAGAUUGCUGCUAAUAGCCUCCGUCGAUUUAGGAAUUCUUCUCCCCCUAAUGAAAUGGCCGCUACUACUUCUCUGAAUCUGCCACCAAUUGUCAUCAUCAUCAGCAUCAGCGCUGGCAUAGGGUACAAAGAGAGAGAAGGGCGUCCACUUGGGCACGUGGAGACUGGGCACCAUCACGCGCGUCUCCACGUCGAAGACGAAGGAACGACCCAACCGCCUAGAGCAGAGGCGGAGCUCCCCAUAUGGCAGGGUGGGGCACCUGCCCCAGCUACUCCAGGUAGAAAGCUCCUAGUACCCUCUCCUCUUCCUCAAGCACGGCAUGGUCGCGAUAAGCAGAGGUGCAGCGUCCGGCCUCCGGCCUCCGGUGGCGCGGCUGAAACUCAUUUUUAAAAGAGGGUUGUGCAAAUGAACGCCAAAGUCCCAAUAAGACCGAGCCCAUCAGCCUAUUAAUUGUCCACCACAUCAGGAAAUCACCAGUUGGCUUAAUCCCUAAUCCCCUGACUUCCUGAGCUCCAAUGACACAUGGGCGACAGUGAUCCCCAUCAGGCACUCAGGUCGUCGCCCCGCUGCAUAUCACUGCAUAAGGCUGCAGCCACGCGCCCAAGCCACUCCUAGCGUGUCAUCGUCGUCGCCGACCUAGCAGCAGUGCGUCGAAGCUCCUUGCUGUCGCCCACUGGUGACCUAUGCCGCUCUGAUGCGACACGUUGUCCCGAUCUUCACGACGUAGGAUGAACACCGAUAACUAGCUGAAGAACAGCCGGAUAACUUGCUGCAAGCAGCGAUAACUAGUGCAACCUGGCAAAUAAAACUCGAAGCCAACCACCGUCUUUAACCGGCAACCUGAAUCGAGGAUUCGCCCAACCACACUCUCAAAGAACCAACCAACACAGCCUACAAUCAAUCAAGGAAUACCUUGAAGAGAGUAGGAGCACCAAUUGGGAGCGGAUGAAGCCGCCGCCUAUGUAAUCCCGCGAGGAAAUCACAAGAGCAAAGGGGUAGAGAUCACUCUCUGAAUUUGUUAGCACGCAGCUGAACAAAGGGGUUCUGUAUUUCAAUUAUCAAAGCCUGAGAUUACAAUGAGUCUUAGGGGGUAUUUAUACUAGCAACAGCCCUGCUAGAUAGGUAUGAAAACGAAAUAGAGUUUCUGAGGGAAGGCAAUGUGAAAGGUCCCCUCGAAAUGGAUUCCCGAAGUGGCUUCGCGUGACUGUUGGCCUCCAGAGCAGUUUCCAAUAAACUGGCCAUAACUUUUUAUUGGGAAGUCCAAAUGAUGAACCGUUUCUUGGGUGUGAAACUAGACUCCAAGAGCUUUCCAGAAAUGUAUGCCAUGCACCACAAAACAUUGUAGAUUGGUACAGUUUUACUUGGCAAGUUGUACCAUCAUUCUGUCACGACAGACUGUUGACCUUCUGAAUAGUCUGUACAAUUCUGGUCUAGAGGCAAUAUGGGGUGUCCACACCGGUCGCCACUAGAUUCAUUGGAAAGUAGACUCGUCAAGCUUUCCAACAAUUGCUCAUGGACCUUCAUAGCUUUUGUGAGUAAAAAGUUAUGAAGAUUUCUUUCACUGGUCCGUCUUUGACUUCCACUGGUCCGUUUUUUACUUCUUCUGGAACUUGCACUGGUCCAUUCUUCAGGGUCCGAUUCAUCCUUCUCUUCUUCUAUAUACCUGAGUACAAUCAAAGUACAAUACUUAGGUAGUAUAUAAUUCUCAUUAAUGUAAAAAAUGAAUCUCACAAAGUAGCGCGUGGACCUCUUGUUGUAGCUUCUUUGCACGACUACGUGUAAUCGGUCCAUCGAUGACUUGAGCUGGUGUCGGUGUAGGUGAAACUUGAGUGAGUGUGGCUUGACUUGGAGCUUGUGACAUUUUGGUUGGUGGCAUGGUCAUAUUACGCUCCCUGCUGGCCACCGGUGCCUCUCGAUGCCGACUGCACAGUGUUGCCGCCCGCCGAUGCCCCUUGUUGGCUUGUGCCGCACUAGUGUGCAGGGAAGCUGCUCCUCGCCGACACCCUAUGCCUAUUCUACUUGUUCUAGCUUCUGCUAGACCACACGAGUCCUAGAAGAAUCGAGGUGCUGCUACCAAUC
rnacentral:lncRNA from 1 species